CACAGCCUCAUGGGUCUCGCGGGCGCCAUGUUGGUCCUCAAAGCCAACCUAAGGGCUCAUCUCUCAGGUGCCAGUCUUAACAGCCGGGGUGCCGAUGUGGGGCACGGACUCCCUUUUCUUCAGAGAGAAGCCCAGGUUUUGAGUUUUCUCGGGGUUGUGAGUCUGGGGGCGCUGAGGAGGUUGUGUCUCGGGCUCUCGCACCUGCUUCCAUGGGACUUCCUUCUCCUUGGCUCUGCAUGCAAACAGGCCCGGAAAUACUGAGCUGUGCCUCCAAAGCAUGGUAUGCUGGACCCAGAGAGGAGCGCUUGUGAGAUUGGCCCAAAGCAUCCCAAGCACAGUGCAUCUUUCUUCCCACAGAAACUGCCUGCACCAUAAGUAAGUAUCACUCUGAGGAUUAAGCUGGAUGAAAAAGUAAGCAUCUGCCCGAGUGCCUGGGACAUGUUCAUCAUCUACAUAGCAACAGGCACGGCCAUGCUCAUAAACCAGAGCUGGCGCUAGAGCUGUCUGUUUGAGGCGAGGCUACAACAAUGAAAUAAAUUCUUCACAUGGAGAAGAGUUAGGCUGCCUCACGAUAUCGCUUUAGACAUCAGAAGUGCCUAAUACUUGUGACCCAGUCCUCUCCCACUUGUUUCUCCAACUGAAGUGGCAUCCAUAACUCCAUGGAUCCAAGCAUGAAGCCACUGAGGGUGAUACUCAUAGCUGAUCUCAAAAGUGCUGAACCAGACCAGAAUCAACCCAGAAGAAAACCAGAGAGUCUCUCGUUGACCUGCGGAUCCUGAGAAGGCUUUCUCUUUAAGAGAAAGGAACUACCAAAUGUAGUAGAAAGAGCUGUGGACUGAGAGCCAGGAAGUUGCCAUUGAUGUACCAGAAAUGAAACAUUAAUAAAUUU